rnacentral:rRNA from 1 species
AGCGUAGGAUUGACAGAUUGAGAGCUCUUUCUACGAACCGGUGGGUAUGUGGUGCAUGGCCGUUCUUAGUUGGUGGAUGUGAUUUGUCUGGUUAAUUCCGAUAACGAACGAGACUCUGCCUUGCUAACUAGACGCCGCAUGAGAUUCGUCAUAUGCGGACCUACGUCUUCUUAGAGGGACAAGUGGCAUAUAGCUACACGAGAUUGAGCAAUAACAGGUCUUGUGAUGCCCAGCCCA